GAAAAAUGAAAAUACAUUCGCGUUAUUAAUAUAAUGUAUAAUUUUAUAUAUUAGAGUAUAAAUAUUAAUAAUUCUACUAAUCAUAUAUGGAUUGGAGUGUUUGUAUAUGUGUUUGCUAUCUUUAUUGCUACUACAAUUCUAAUUGUAAAAAUUGUUAAACAAAAUUGUUGGUUGUAGAUUUUUAGCAUCAAAAUGGGCAACUGUUUAAAGUAAUAAAAUAUUUAUGUUGAUCCUUUAAAUAUUUGUACUCUUUGGGUGUAAAAUGGGUACAACAAUGGGAAAAAAUGGCCAUUUCCUGGAUGCCCUACCAUCGCAGGGCACAUUACAUGUUGUAAUGUUGGGUCUUGAUUCGGCUGGAAAAACUACUGCUUUGUACAGACUAAAAUUUGACCAAUAUUUGAAUACUGUUCCCACAAUUGGUUUUAACUGUGAAAAAGUACAAGGCAUGGUUGGUAAAGCUAAAGGAGUGCAAUUUCUAGUAUGGGACGUGGGAGGACAAGAAAAACUGAGACCUUUGUGGAGAAGUUAUACACGAUGCACGGAUGGAAUACUGUUUGUGGUAGAUUCUGUGGAUGUUGAAAGAAUGGAAGAAGCAAAAAUGGAACUUAUGCGCACUGCAAAAUGUCCAGAUAAUCAAGGUGUUCCGGUCCUAAUAUUGGCUAAUAAACAAGACUUACCUGGUGCUCGCGAACCUAAAGAACUGGAGAAGCUGCUAGGAUUACACGAACUGCUUACACCAAAUUCUAUCAAUAUAAGUUCGGUUCUAAAAACGUGUUCCUCUUCCACUGGCAAUAUUGUAGCUUCUACGAAAGCCAUAGAAACUGAAAACGAAGAAGACUACGGUUAUGGGGAAAUAGGUGUUGGAAAUACAUCUUCUUCCGUUAUCAAUUCAAAGCUGUCUUCAUCGUCACCAUCCAAUCAACAAAGCACCCGCGUAAUUACUGAUAUGCAAAAUAAAGCGCCCUCAUUAAAAAAUUAUUCAUCGACUUCACUACUAGACUCCUAUCAUUAUCAACAACAACAGCAACUUAAAUCAAAUCAACAACAUACUUCGCAAAAGUCGCUAGUUACGCACGAAUUACAGACAAAUUUAGUAACUCACCAGUCUUCUCCCUCCUCACUAGUAUGUACUCCAACCUCAUCCAAUAUACCCAGCAGCUGUAACAUUACCAAUAAUACUAGCCAUCAUAAUGACAAUAUUUCUAAAUUGACACCAUCUGCCACAACAUCAAAUAUAAAUAAUUCUGCAAUAUUACAAAAGUCAUGCAGUAAUGCUAGCAACAUUUCAACCCAAUACAAGGGUUGGUAUAUACAACCUGCAUGUGCUAUUACAGGCGAAGGAUUACAAGAAGGACUUGAAGCUCUAUAUGAUAUGAUUCUAAAACGACGUAAAAUUCAAAAGAUCCACAAAAAGAGACGGUAAUAUUUAUCAAAACUGGAAAUAUUGUAAAUCAUGUUAAAUAUUAAAAAAAAAAAAUUUACAAAUGUAAUGAGAACUGGGCAACGCUUAGAACUUGAUAUUGUGAUUUAUAAUGAAAUACGUUUGCAAAUAUGUAUUUGCGAUUUCUAUGUAUCCAAAUUAAAGAUGGAACGGUCAAAUUAUAUAAAAGUUCUGAUAAAUGAUAUGGUGUUCAUAUCUGAAAUCAGUAUCAAUGUACUAUGUGCGAUUUGCUACACAUAAAUUUUUUUUCGACACUAUGCUCAAGAAAUAACAGUCGUAAAACAUAUGGGCAUUACACGAGUCAAUGACUUUGUUUUAGUAGAUAUUUUUAAAUUAAGCAAUUACUCAUAAUGAUGAUAUAAAAUGUUCGUACAUAUACCAGAAUUUUUUUACGAUUGAAAGUGAAUUCCUUAAUUUGUUCAUUAGAUAUAUACAAUGUUGCCAAAUUUAAAACGAAGUGAAAUGUUUAUAUACAAGAGAAAGAGCUUAAUAAACUGUUGUUUACUUCUAUCAUUGCACAUGGAAGUUAGUGAAUUAAAACAAAUAAAAAUUAAGUAUGGAAUCUUUAACAGAUUCAAAGGAAUUUGUUUUAAACCCUUCCCAAAGGAAUCUUCUAAAUGUUAAACAUUGAAAUGAAUAUCACUUUUAUUUUGCACCAAGAAAUUUAUUUUAUUUAUUGGCAUACGCAUUUACAAUAAACAUACACUUAUAUACUCAUUUACUUAAAGAGUAACCUAAUUGAGAUAACGUAAUUUUCAGUAAUUUUUUUAUGUUUUAAAUAACUGCACUUAAUUUGUCACAAAUGAUUUUGUUAUAAAAAAAUUAAUUUGUAGGAAGCUGAUAAAAUCGGGCUUUAGCGCCGUAAAUACAAGUUAUUUUUAAAUCGAAUAACUUGACCAAAAUAUUUAAAGCAAAAUUCGAAUGACUAUGUCGGAAUGAUAAUAUUCUUUUAAUGAUACAACCAAAAGGGUUCAAUUUAUUAGAAGCUGACAGUUAAUGACACUGGUCCUGUAAAAAUUAUUUUCCCCGUCCGACUACUAUUACUUUAAUCAAUGCAGAAUGCUCUACUAUUUUGCCCACAAAUAAAAAAUACAGCAUAAAUAAAAAAUACAAGUUAUAAAUAUAAAAGUUGUAUUUUAAAAUGUCAUAAUUGGUAUAAUUUCACAAUUUUAAUUAACAUUGCUGUACCUAACAUCGUUGAUUUUAGUUAAUAUUAAUUAAAAUUGUGAAAUUAUACCAAUUAUGACAUUUUAAAAUGCAAUUUAUUGUUUUGUAAAUCAUAUAAUUUCAAGUUCUCCAAGGCAAAUAUUUAUAAUAUAAAAAAACUAUUUAAAAUGUCGUGGUAGCACCGCGGUAUUUUUCGAUACCAAAAAGUACUCAGAAAAGUACAAUAGUCUAGCAUUAAAUGAGCGAGACACAAAUAUGUGCCUCUCAUAAGUAUUCGAAUUUAGGUAUCCUAUGGAAAGAAACCAAAUUUAAUAAUAUUUUUUGUGUGCAAAAUAAAUAAAUACAUUUGUUAUAUCAUCUAGGCAGUCCUUAGGUUUUAUAUCACAAUUUUUAUUACUUGAAAAAUCUACAUUUAUUUAAAUUAAUUAAGCUUUUUUUUUAAAGGAUGUCCAUAUAAUUACCUCACAAAAGUAUUAGAAUUUUUCCUGUAUUUCACAUUUUAUCAUAUUAUACGAAACAUAAAAUUAGAAUCUAAUGUUUUUUUUUUGCUUAAAAUUGUUUAAGGGGUUACUAUCAACCGAAGGGAUAUAUUUUUAGAGCCUUUAUGUAUUGCAAACUUUUCCGUCUAAAACAUAACCUAUGAGCAGUUGUUUUGACAAAUAUUACUUUUAUCAAAUGAAAACUUUUUAAAACAUUGAAAACCAUACCAUAAUAAUAUUAAUAAUAUUUAAAAAACAAACCUUACAAUUACCAUUUACUUAAAAAGUACGAUUUGAUUAUUUUAUGGUUUUUGUUAAUUGUAUUUUUUUCACUUUUUACUUAGUUUUAAUUGGCCAACACUCGGUUGAACCAAGAAAUAAGUAACGUGACUGAUUACUGAAACAUGUAAAAUUUGGAUAAAACGUUGUUAAAACAAAGAAUGUAACAAACUAGUAUUUCUUAAAAAAAUAACGUAUCGGUUUAAACAAAGAAUGUAGAUCUUUGUCUGAAAGCACCGACCUAAGUAUCUUAUAAGGUUAACGGAACUUUUUAGUCAAAUACUAGCAAGUAAAAUAAUUUUUAAAGUUUAUAUUUAUGCUUCUAAUGUUACCACAUUUCACAUCUUUUAUAAAAAAUACGUUCCGUCGCUAAAAUGGCAACGUACAAAAACGUGACUGCGAUGGUAAUGCAGUAUGCAUACAAUCGUAAAGCAUUAAAAUGAAAUUGCAUUUCUUUUUCUUUUAUUUAUGAUUCAGUUUUUUGUUGAAUAGAUUUUUUAAUCGAAAUGCCAAAUAGAGGUAAAUACAUACGUUUUGCAAAUGAUCUAGAAUCUGUUUGAUCAGAAUCAACACCUGUGGUGCCGAAUUUUUUAUCACAAAAUGGUAACAACAUACAUAAAUAUUUUAAAUGGAAAAUACAGAAACGCUGGUAUAGAAGACAUUAAAAUUGUAUGUUCUAGUAGUGCCUCUUUGGUAGGAAGCUUUUGACCAAUUCAAUAUAAAAAUAUAAAAUAAUAGUAGUCUACUGCAGUCGUCUACUGCAUUAGAAAAUACACAAAGUUUUAAUAAAUUGAGAGUAUAACAUAACAAUAAAAUGAAAUAUAUUCUUAAAAAUAUAUAUAAAACUAAAAUAGAGUGUGAAACAUAAUCCUACACAUCAGAAUACAAAAAUAGUAAUUGUAAAAUAAAAUAAAAUUAUUUUUAAAGAUGUUCUUAAUUGUAAAUUAAUUAUAUAUAUUAAUAUAUUAUUAAAACAUUUACAUUAUAGAUGAAAUGUUAACCUUUAUUGCCAAUUUUUUAAUAAGAAAAUUGGCAUUUUUAUUUUCCUUCAAUCUAUAGGUAAUAAUAAACAUUUGAACAAAACAUUCAAUAGAAAUGGGCUGAUACAUAACUGAAAUAUUUUAUAUUUUAUUUACAAACUAAAUAGUUUUUUGACAACUUUUGAAAGUUGUUAUAUUUUCUUAAAUUUUUAGUGGAAAAAAAAUAUUUUCAAUAAUUUUCGAGGAAGUUCUUAGAUUUUUGUUUUCAAAUUUAAACAUUUUUAGAAAAGUUAAAUAAAAAAAUCGAUGUUGUAUUUUUUGAUAUUUAUUGCAAAAUGGUGAGGUUUAUUUUUACGGAAACGUAUUAAACAAAUUAUAUUAAUUGUGAGAAUACGGUAGUAAGCAAUGCCUCUACAAUUAAUAAAAGCGGUGCUUUAUUUUUUCCACCGCUAUAUUUUUGAAUAACUUUCCAUGAAAGCGUUAAAUAUGCAUUUAUUUUGAAAAUAAUUUGAUAAAAAUGAAAAUUUAAAAUUUUCCAAUUACAAAAAUUUUAACUAAAAAUGUACCACAAAAUUAAUUAAGUACAAUAUUACGAUUUUGCAAUUGUAGAAUGGGAAUUUUUUAGAUCGGCAUUAAAAAUAUUUUAAUAACUUAUUUUUUUGAUGUAUAAAUGUGUGUUAUUACCUACAGAUGAAGAAAAAUUACAAUAUAUACAACUUUACUUCAAUAUGGAACUUUUUUUAAACUGGAAAACAUUUCCCUAAUGGAUCAAAAAUGAUUAUUUAUGCAAAAUUAUGGACUGCCAUUAUUCCAUUAGUUCUUCUAGUUUGCACGCAUAUUACGACUUGAAAAAAGAAAUUACUAAAAGAGACAAAGUAAAACAAUUCAUUCUGAAUUUAAAAUAGAAAUUUGUGUGAGGAGCGGGUUUCAUUUGUAAGGAAUAGGACUUGUUAAAAAGUGUUAUUAUAUAACAUUGUCAUAUAAAUUACCCUUCCUUAAUGUAGAUUUCAACAAAACUGUGAAUACACUAUCUCAUCGAAUUUUGAGGGUGCUGUAGCUUAAGUGGUUAUCAUGUUGAUCAAUAAGCCUUAUUUGGUUCGCGAGCCCUUGAUUCGAUCCCCAGCCGCUGCCAAUCAACAACAUCAAUUAAUGAUAAAUUGUUAGUAUCUAUUAGCCCUCCUUCGGGGGUAUACUCUAUAGAAUUAAAUCGUCGCCGAAGUAAAAUAAAUAUAAAUUGGCUAUAAAAAUAAAGCUUAAUGUUAAUGCGCCUACUCGACACCAGAGGCGCUGCAACACUGUCCUUAAAAUAAACUUUACGUACAAUUACAGAGUCGUAAAUUAAUAACGCUUUCUUCUAUUCUCCACUUUCACCAUCUUCCUGCUCUACUCAAUCCCAUUCCAAGGAAAGUAACAUCAGGCAUUAAUACCUGAGUGUUACUUCUCUUAAAAAAAUAACGGUAACAAACCGAGGAAUGUUCUGUCUUUAGACAAUUUCGUCCUUUGUAGCAAUUAUUGACCAAAUUAAAGGUGGAUAUUGCGGCUGACAGUACUAAAAAAUAUUUAUUCAAAAUAACAAAAGUAUCGGUGUAUUUUUUCUUUAAAUCUUAAUUUUUCUCAUAUACACCAUUUUUUUGUCCAAUCAAUGGAUUUUUUACAGUAAGAUUCACGCUGGCAGAAAUCAAAAUUUUUCCAGAUUAAAAAACGCAAAAGUUGCUAUAUUAAAGUAAGUUUUUAUAGAUAUAUACAUUUCUUUUUUUCUAUACCAAAGAAACUUUUAGUUAUUUUUAAAUAAAAACAAAAUAUUAUAAAAAUGUAUGUCUAAUAUAUAUCAUUAUUAAGUAAAUAAAGUAAGAAAAGUGAUGUAAGUUUUCCAAAUU
rnacentral:misc_RNA from 1 species